GAUGAAGAACGUAGCGAAAUGCGAUACGUAAUGUGAAUUGCAGAAUUCAGUGAAUCAUCGAGUCUUUGAACGCACAUUGCGCCCCCUGGUAUUCCGGGGGGCAUGCCUGUCCGAGCGUCAUUGCUGCCCUCAAGCACGGCUUGUGUGUUGGGCCUCCGUCCUCCUCCCGGGGGACGGGCCCGAAAGGCAGCGGCGGCACCGCGUCCGGUCCUCGAGCGUAUGGGGCUUCGCCACCCGCUCUUGUAGGCCCGGCCGGCGCUUGCCGACACAUCAAUCUUUUUUCCAGGUUGACCUCGGAUCAGGUAGGGAUACCCGUUGAACUUAAGCAUAUCAAUAAGCGGAGGA
rnacentral:misc_RNA from 1 species